rnacentral:misc_RNA from 1 species
CAACCCUCAAGCCUUGCUUGGUGUUGGGCCCUGCCUCGCGGCCGGCCUCAAAGUUAGUGGCGGUGCCGUCUGUUCCUAAGCGUAGUACUUCUCUCGCUCUAGGGACCGGCGGUGGCCUGCCCGAACCCCAACUCCUCU